AUGCAUAGAAAAUACAUCACUGUAGACUUCUCCUCCCACUCAGUGCAGCCUCCACCCAAGGCCCCUUUCAUUCUCCUCUGAGUCUCAACAGCAGCUGAGUGGGAGCACCAAACAUGCUGAUGCUGGCAGCUCUUAUGGCCACAACUGUGUGGUUUUACGGAUUUGCACAGGAAAUUCCUAUACAGAGUCCAAUAUCCAUCACCAGGUUCCAGAAAAGCGCACGUAUGUUCUGUGAAAUGAAGAAAUUACCAGGACGUUUUGAUAGCACCGUCAUACACUGGUAUCAACAAAAGGAGAAUAAACCUCCAGAGAGGCUACUCUUCUUUGCAGAAGGGAAAACUACAGUUGAAAGUGGCUUUCAAAGGAACAAGUACAUGGUUGAUAAAGUUUCUAGUCGGAAUCUGUGUAUUCUUACAAUAAACAAUGUAAGUCCAGAUGAUGCUGCUACUUACUACUGUGCCUACUGGGACCCUCACUGUGAUAGACGCUCAGAGAGCAUCAAGCCACAAAACUCCUUCAACCACUCAACUUCAGCUUCAGUCUGAACCACAGGAUUGUUACUGCCUCAUUCCCCAGCCUUCUCACUCCAUCUGCUAUCAGCUGCUACCCAGAGCAAACACUGCACAGAUGCAGAGAAUCACAAACAGUAAAGGCAUGGAAGGGACCUCUGCAGAUCAUCCAGUCCAUCCUCCCUGCUAAGGCAGAUUCCUUAGAGCAGGUGACACAGGAAAGUGUCCAAGAAGGUCCUGCACGUCACUAGAGGGCAUUCCUCACCCUCUCUGGGCAGCCAGUUCCUUUGCUUUGUCAUCCU